rnacentral:misc_RNA from 1 species
AAGUCGUAACAAGGUUUCCGUAGGUGAGCCUGCGGCCGGAUCAUUAACACGUAUCCAAACGUAAAAACCCCCCUCAUCCUGCUGUUGUAACCCGCGUAGUUUGCAAUCUCUGAUAAAUCAUAGCCCGGAAAGUUGUAGUGAUUCAGAGACCUCUGGCUACGUGCGAACAUUGGAACAGGAAUAAUAUAGGUUCUCCCAAGCAGUCAGUGUCGGAAAGUGUCAUUGAUUGUGCAAGGAUAGCGCUUCUACGAUUCCUGUAGACCGUACACUCGGGCAGGAGCUUUCCAAAGGGUCCCCAUGCCCCCUAAUAACCCCACAGUUUAAUGUGAAGCUCAAUGUAAUACGUUGGGUAAAAAAACCCAACAACUGUUAACAAUGAAUAUCUUGGUUCUC